AUCGGAUUACUGGGCGUAAGCGAGCGUAGGUGGCUUGAUAAGUCAGAUGUGAAAUCCCCGGGCUUAACCUGGGAACUGCAUCUGAUACUGUCAGGCUAGAAUAGGUGAGAGGAAGGUAGAAUUCCAGGUGUAGCGGUGAAAUGCGUAGAGAUCUGGAGGAAUACCGAUGGCGAAGGCAGCCUUCUGGCAUCAUAUUGACACUGAGGUUCGAAAGCGUGGGUAGCAAACAGGAUUAGAUACCCUGGUAGUCCACGCCGUAAACGAUGUCUACUAGUCGUUGGGUCCCUUGAGGACUUAGUGACGCAGCUAACGCAAUAAGUAGACCGCCUGGGGAGUACGGCCGCAAGGUUAAAACUCAAAUGAAUUGACGGGGGCCCGCACAAGCGGUGGAGCAUGUGGUUUAAUUCGAUGCAACGCGAAGAACCUUACCUGGUCUUGACAUAUCUAGAAUCCUGCAGAGAUGCGGGAGUGCCUUCGGGAAUUAGAAUACAGGUGCUGCAUGGCUGUCGUCAGCUCGUGUCGUGAGAUGUUGGGUUAAGUCCCGCAACGAGCGCAACCCUUGUCCUUAGUUACCAGCGGGUUAAGCCGGGAACUCUAAGGAUACUGCCAGUGACAAACUGGAGGAAGGCGGGGACGACGUCAAGUCAUCAUGGCCCUUACGACCAGGGCUACACACGUGCUACAAUGGUAGGUACAGAGGGCAGCUACACAGCGAUGUGAUGCGAAUCUUUCAAAGCCUAUCGUAGUCCAGAUUGGAGUCUGCAACUCGACUCCAUGAAGUAGGAAUCGCUAGUAAUCGCGGAUCAGAAUGCCGCGGUGAAUACGUUCCCGGGCCUUGUACACACCGCCCGUCACACCAUGGGAGUUGAUUGCACCAGAAGUGGUUAGCCUAACUUAGUGAGGGCG
rnacentral:rRNA from 1 species